rfam:Trachymyrmex cornetzi contig47163, whole genome shotgun sequence.
CAAUCGGCCCUUUUCAGGGCCACUAAACACUCUGUAAUUACUAGUGU